GGAGACGUACUCAAGUGGUUAAGAGGACACCCUGCUAAGGUGUUAGAGGCGUAAGCUGGCAAGCGUUCGAAUCGCUUCGUCUCCGCCA
rnacentral:tRNA from 1 species